ensembl:lncRNA
GGGUAGCGCAGAGGCAGGCAGUGGGGACCGCGCAACGCAGCCGGCUCUGCAGUCCCCGCCCCGGCCGCCCGCCCAGAGCCCGCCCCGCGCCUGGCGCCCGGGGGCCCGACUGAGCUCGCAGCCAGGCAGCCUGCGACCUUGGGCGCACCCUUUGCACCUUUUUCUGCACCACUGCGGACGCCUGCGGGUCUUGCAAAGACCAAGGAACUCCUGCACUUGGAAGGCAAAGUUUGAAAAAGCUCUGCAAACUAACGGAAUGCGCUCCGGGGACUGGGUCCUCCAAGUCUCGCGGACGCCAGGACUCACCCCGCCUCUGCACCUCCGCUGGGAGUUUCAGGUUCUGAAUGACCUGGCGUGGAAGGACUCAGAGGCCUCGAGCGGUGACUAGUUGUUCCAUUAGAGAACUUAGAAUCUACCAGGAUAGAGCAACAUGCUCCCAUUUGCCAAGUUGCACAGUUGGUGCCCGCUGGUCGUGUUGGAAGUUUAUCCGUCAGCCUGCUGUGGGAGUACAAGAGGCUGUUGCCCAGAAGGGCGUGGGCAGCGCGCUUUCCUCCCAGAGCCUCAGCUUCCUCAUCUGCAAACGUGAAAGAACAUCUCGUCGCCAGCUAUGAAGACUGGGGUUGCCUGGGCGGAGGACCUGAGCCAGUGCCACCUGCCCUCAGCCUGGCACCAGCCAUUACCUAAUAAGUGUCAGUUACCAGGACAAGAAUGAUUUCUGUAAUAGUCAAAAUUCCUUCCAUUGUAAGUGAUCCAAUGUAAGUAAAGAAAACGGAAAACAAAUUUUUUGGCUCACAUAAUCAGCAAGUGUGGAUUCAGGAAUUUUUUUUUUUCUUUUUUCUUUUUUUUUUUUUUUUUUUUUUGAUACAGAGUCUCACUCUGUCCCCCAGGCUGGAGUGCAGUGGCACCAUCUCGGCUCACUGCAAGCUCCGCCUCCCGGGUUCACGCCAUUCUCCUGCCUCCCGAGUAGCUGGGACUACAGGCGCCCACCACUACGCCCGGCUAAUUUAUUUUGUAUUUUUAGUAGAGAAGGGGUUUCACCGUGUUGGCCAAGAUGGUCUCGAUCUCCUGACUUCGUGAUCUUCCCGUCUCGGCCUCCCAAAGUGCUGGGAUUACAGGCGUGAACCACCGCGCCCGGCCGGAUUCAGGGAUUUAAAAACAAGAUCAUUCGGCGUGGUGAAACACCAGGCCAACAUGGUGAAACACCGUCUCUACCGAAAAUUAGCUGUGCGUCCUGGCGCGCGCCUGUAAUCCCAGCUACUAGGGAGGCUGAGGCGGGAGAACUGCUUGAACCCGGGAGGCGGAGGUUGCAGUGAGCCGAGAUCUCGCCACUGCACUCCAGCCUGGUGGCAGAGGGAGAAUUCAUCUUAAAAAAACACACACACACAAACAAGAUCGUCCCUCUCCCCAUCUCGGUCCCUCUCCUCCCUUCUCCUUGCCCGUUGGGAUUUCUUUCCGUGGUUUCUCUUCCUCCUCUGCAAGCAACCUUUCUCUUCCUGUGCAGGUUACAGCGGUGGGUGGCCUCUGAUGCCCUCGUUUCUAUCUUUCCCAUCUGUUAAACCAGAAAGUAAGGCCCUCCCCUCCUCUCUUCUGGCUCCAAACUAACAAACAAAAAACUGGGAGAAAAUCUGGUUGGCCCUGCUUAGGUUUCUUGCCCACCUCUGGAACAAUCGCCCUGGGUGGGAAAAUAGGGUCUGAUGUUUGGCUUGCCCUGGACCAUGCACCCAGCUUUGUACCUACAGGGUAGAAUUAGGUGCCCUGUGACUGGUCUCGUCCCACGAGGACUGCACGUAUGGAGUAGAGAAGUUUUCCAAAAGAACUGAGAGUCUCAACAGACAAAUAUCCAAGGAUGUUCACUAGAUCUGUGAUCACUGCUGUUCUUUGAUAAUCUUCUGGAAGUCCUGACUGAUGUAAUAAGACAGGAAAUGGAAAUGUAAUGUAUAAUAUUAGGAAAGAAAAGGCAAAGGGAUUACUCACAGUAGAAAUUGCCAGACUGGACCAGGCACAGUGACUCAUGCCUAUAAUCGUAACACUUUGGAAGGCCGAGGUGGGAGGAUCACUUGAACCCAGGAGUUUUGAGACCAGCCUGGGCAACACAGUGAGACCCCAUCUCCUAAAAAAAAAAAAAAUCCACACAACCCAACCCAAAGAAAUAAAAUAUGAAGAAAAACUAAUAGAAUUGGUAAAGGGGUUUAAUAAAGUUGCUACAUAGAAGUUCUUCGGCCGGGCGCGGUGGCUCAAGCCUGUAAUCCCAGCACUUUGGGAGGCCGAGACGGGUGGAUCACGAGGUCAGGAGAUCGAGACCAUCCUGGCUAACACGGUGAAACCCCGUCUCUACUAAAAAUACAAAAAAACUAGCCAGGCGAGGUGGCGGGCGCCUGUAGUCCCAGCUGCUCGGGAGGCUGAGGCAGGAGAAUUGCGCGAACCCGGGAGGCGGAGCUUGCAGUGAGCGGAGAUCUGGCCACUGCACUCCAGCCUGGGCGACAGAGCGAGACUCCGUCUCAAAAAAAAAAAAAAAAAAAAAAAAAAAAAAAAAAGAAGUUCUUCAACAAGUCAUAUCAGUCCUUUAUAUUGGUAAUAACAUAUAUGAAAAUACUAAAAGAAAUCCUUCACAAUAGCAACAAAAAGUAAAAAGUCCAUGUGAUGCAGAGCAUAACUCCUCACUCCUUAAAGAUGGAUUGUACAUAGUGACUUCCUUCCAAAAAGUAGAACAGGAAAAUUAAUUUUCAAUUAACAUAUUAGGUUUUAGUCCACUUCUGUGUAUUCCAUUAUUUUAAAAUUUAAUAGAAUGACUCUAAAAGCAAUUGAUAGUGUAAACAGGAAGAUAUAACAAAAACUCUGAAAAAGAAAAGUAAGGAGGAAAGAAGUAGCUCUGUUGGCUGAUAAAUAGCUUUUAAAACAAUGUGUGGUUGGCUGAGCUUGGUAGCCCACACCUGUAGCCCCAGCACUUUGGGAGGCUGAGGUGACAGGAUUGACUGAGCCCAACAGUUUGAGGCUGCGGUGAGCUACGAUUGCACUACUGCACUCCAGCCUGGACAGCAGAGUGAGACCCUAUCUCAAUAAAAGACAAAACAAUAAAAUAAUUUAAAAAACAAAGAACCCUGUUGUUAGGAUUUUGACAUUGCAUUAUAUCUGCAGAUUUAUUCAGAAAGAAUGCACCUCAUGAAAAUACUGUCUUCUAGUUAAAUCAUAUCCCUAGUCUAAUCAGUACUUAUCUAGGGAAUGGGACACUCACUGGACUAGGGAUAUGAUGAAUUUGUUAUUGAUGCUUGAUAAAUAGUCAUAAUUAUGUUCAUAUAUGGUUCUUAACUUUCUGAAAUAUAUUAUUAAAAGCAUGUAUUAAAGUUGAAUUUUAUCAGUUUGUUUUGUUUUGUUUUGGGACAGGAUCUCUCUCUGUCACCUAGGCUAGAGUGCA